GUCGUGAGAUGUUGGGUUAAGUCCCGCAACGAGCGCAACCCUCGUCCCUAGUUACCAGCGGGUUAUGCCGGGCACUCUAGGGAGACUGCCGGUGUCAAACCGGAGGAAGGUGGGGAUGACGUCAAGUCAUCAUGGCCCUUUACGUCCAGGGCGACACACGUGCUACAAUGGCCGGUACAGAGCGUCGCCAACCCGCGAGGGUGCGCCAAUCGCCAAAAGCCGGUCUAAGUUCGGAUUGCAGUCUGCAACUCGACUGCAUGAAGCCGGAAUCGCUAGUAAUCGUGGAUCAGCCACGCCACGGUGAAUACGUUCCCGGGCCUUGUACACACCGCCCGUCACGCCAUGGAAGCUGGGGGGACCUGAAGCCGGUGGGCUAACUCGCAAGAGAGGCAGCCGUCAAAGGUCAAUUCAGUGACUGGGGCGAAGUCGUAACAAGGUAGCCGUAGGGGAACCUGCGGCUGGAUCACCUCCUUUCUGGAGUGACGAGUACGCUCGGUGCACCCCCAACACGGGAACCCGAGACGAAAGUCCUCAGAAGUCGCCCGCACUCCGUCGCUUUCUAGCUCGCAUCACUUUCUUUUGGCGGGUCCCACUGGGAUCCGCCUGGCGGGCCCCGGCUUGCGCCCUGCGCGGUGGGGUCCGCCCUGCUCUUUGACAAUCGACGAAUGGAUGGUUUGCCUGUUGGCUGACGGGGGCUCGCUUGCGAGCUCGCGGCGGUGAGCAGGCAGGGUGUGAGGAAUCAACACCGGUCGUCCUGAUCCGAUCGCAGGAUCGGGAACGACAUUGAGAUUUGAGAUCAAACGCAAUAAGGCACACGGUGGAUGCCUUGGCAUCGAGAGGCGAUGAAGGGCGUGAUAAGCUGCGAUAAGCCUGGGGGAGCUGCACAUGAGCCGUGAUCCCAGGAUGC
rnacentral:sRNA from 1 species